UGCAUUGGGGAGCAGACACAUGCUGGGCAAUCUGGGUUCAGAGUGUGGGGGCUAUCAGGUAGGAGGGAGGAACUUAAGUCUCAGGAACACUGUGGGCUCCUCACACCUUCACUCCUGAGCACAGGGGGAGAGAGGGUUGUCCUAUCUCAGGCCUCCAGCCAUCUGUGACACAGAACUACACAGGAUGCCAGCCUGGCUUCAUCUCCCCAAUGCCAAAGUCCCAAACUCCAGGAUCUGAUACCCAGCGGGGUUCAGAUUCGUUCUGCUGGAAGCCACGGAGUCUGGUUGCAGCAAAGGACACGUGCUCGAUUCUGCUAGAUUCUGCUCUACCCUUCCGUGUCCUUCAACAGCGACAUGACAGGACACGGUCAAGCUGCAGACCCAAAGCCAGAGAAGAAACCAGGCUCAGUGGAUGCACCUGAUGGGGCAAUCGGCAGAAAACCAAAAGCAUCUUGUCACUCACAGGUAGGGAAACUGAGGCCUGGGUAAGGCAGAACACUCACUUUGGAAAAAUCCAAAGCUUUGAAUCAACUUCAGAGAAGAAAGGUCUUUCCAGUGAAGAAAAGAAAGAAGGUAUACAUGAACCUCCCAGAAAGGCGGGAAGAGAGAUGCCCGCACCCCACCUGUCUCAGCAGGGCCGGCUCAUUCCAGGACAGUGCCAGAAGCUGACAUCACGCCCCACACCCUGGGUGCAACCUGAACAGCUCAUUGCUGCAUGCCAACCCAUCUCUAAGCCUGGGCACAGUCUUUCCAUCACCUUUGUAGCCAGGGCCAAA